AACUGAAAGAAUGGUUAAAGCACUGGAUGACAUAGACCAGAGGAAAACAAGACGAUGAUAGUGAGUUCCAGAGAGCAACAGUUUGAAGAAAGAAGCUAUUAGAAUACAAUGACUUUCGGCUAACAGGAAGCUCAACAAACCAACAAUGUGUCUGGGAAG